rnacentral:rRNA from 1 species
AACGAACGCUGGCGGCAGGCCUAACACAUGCAAGUCGAACGUGAUUGAAGAGCUUGCUCUUCAUGAAAGUGGUGCACGGGUGAGUAACGCGUAGAUAAUCUACCUGGUGAUUUAGGAUAACAGUUCGAAAGGACUGCUAAUACCGAAUAAGCCCACGGAGUCUUUGGAUUCUGCGGGAAAAGGGGGGGACCUUAUGGCCUUCCGUCAUCAGAUGAGUCUGCGUACCAUUAGCUAGUUGGUAGGGUAAAGGCCUACCAAGGCGACGAUGGUUAGCGUGUCUGGGAGGAUGAUCAGCCACACUGGAACUGAGACACGGUCCAGACUCCUACGGGAGGCAGCAGUGGGGAAGUCUGCGCAAUGGGGGAAACCCUGACGCAGCAACGCCGCGUGAGUGAUGAAGGCCCUUGGGUCGUAAAGCUCUGACAGAGGGAAAGAAAUGCGCAGCGGUCAAUACCCGCGGCGUUUGACGGUACCCACAGAAAAGGUCCCGGCUAACUCCGUGCCAGCAGCCGCCGUAAUAC